rnacentral:rRNA from 1 species
AGCAGCCGCGGUAAUUCCAGCUCCAAUAGCGUAUAUUAAAGUUGUUGCAGUUAAAAAAGCUCGUAGUUGAAUUUCGGGGUCAGUAGGUCGGUCGUGCCACUGGUAUGAACUGGUCUCACUGAUUCCUCCCUCUUGUAGAACCGUGAUGCCAUUAAUUUGGUGUUGCGGGGAAACAGGACUGUUACUUUGAAAAAACUGAGUGUUUAAAGCAAGCUAACGCUUGAAUACAUUAGCAUGGAAUAAUGAAAUAGGACGUCUGUCUUAUUUUGUUGGUUUUCUAGGAUGGACGUAAUGAUUAAUAGGGAUAGUUGGGGGCAUUAGUAUUCAAUUGUCAGAGGUGAAAUUCUUGGAUUUAUUGAAGACUAACUACUGCGAAAAGCAUUUGCCAAGGAUGUUUUCAUUAAUCAAGAACGAAAGUUAGGGGAUCGAAGACGAUCAGAUACCGUCGUAGUCUUAACCAUAAACUAUGCCGACUAGGGAUCGGAUGAUGUUUAAUUUUUUAAUGUACUCAUUCCGGCGU